CGCGGCCGCCCCUCCCAGUAGGCUGUGCGGCCGCCGUACGGCAACAUGGCGGCGCCCGGACCGGCAGCGGCGGCGGCGCUGGUACAGUACGUGGUGCUGCGGGGGGACCUGGGCCGCCCGCCGCGGUCGUGGCCGUUGGGCGCGGUAGUGGCUCAGGGAUGCCACGCCGCCCUGGCAGCCGCGCAUGCGCACCGCCAGCACCCCGACACCCGCGCCUACCUGGAGUUGGGCGGCGCCAUGCGCACCGUCGUGCUGGAGGCUCCGGAUGAAGCCGCCCUGACGGCGCUGGCAGAGAUCCUGAAGCAGCACGGCAUCGACCACGAAGUGUGGACCGAGCAGCCCGAGAACGUGGCCACGUGCCUGGCGCUCAGGCCCUACCCAAAGGACCAAGUGCACCAGCACCUGAAGAAAUUUAAAUUGCUGAAGUGAGCAGGAACGGGCACGGGCAGCUCUCCUCCUGAGGCAGAGCCGAGCUCACCCCCGGACAGGCGCCGGGAGGAAAGCUGCUGUGUCUCGGGAGCGCUGUGCUAAUGCUCAGCAGCAGCACUUUCAGAUUUAAGAUGCUGGUUUUUGCCACCAAACCCCACAGACCGGCUAAUUUCCAGCUCUCCCCAGCGUGAUGAACCGUGGUGAAAGAGGGGUUCCCGGUGCGAGGACCCCGUCUGCCCACACCUCCUGCCCCGGCAAACGGCCCCGGCACCGCUCCGGCAUCCCCGUCGGCACAGAAACAACGAAACGUUAGCUGGCAACUCCGGUUCUUUUUUUGUUUGUUUGUUUGGGUUUUUUUUUUUUUGUCAUCUUUAACUCUUGCAAAUGUCAAUCAACAAAGCUACACAUUUUUCCACACACCAGCGCAAUUUUUAGAGGGAAAAAAAAAAAUCCCCCGUAGCCGCCCUCCCCCCAUAAAAGUCAGCAGUGAAUAUUAAAAGCGACCCCCAACUAAAAGAGAAGAAAACAAAUUUAUACAGAGCUCAGAGCUAUUUACAGUGACAGGCUUGAGGGGAAAAAAAAUAAGCUAUCUCCCAACAGAGAAUUCAAUUAUUAUUAUUAUUAUUUUAUUAUUAUUAUUUUAAAUAGUUUAAGCUACCUCAGCUGUUAAACACAAUCAAAGCAGAAAGAACCGACUGCUUAAUUUUAUUUAAUAUUUAAUCAGAAAAUUUUAUCUACAAUAAUUGACAGACCCCUCCCCCCAUCCUUCCCCCUAAAAAUUAUUGCCGUUUUUUCCCCAAACUGUUCUUUUUUUGUCUUUUUUUGUCUUUUUUUUUUUUCUCCUCCUGUUGUAAUAUACACAUUGUAGCCCCCCUCCCCGUUUCGCCUGGAGGCCUGAAACCAGCAUAAAACAUGGAAAAAAUGGUGGGUCAAAAUACUCUGUUUUGUUUUUUUUUUUUUUUUUCUUUAAAACCGACAAACUCACGAUUGCUAGAAAAAGCUGAUUGUACGCACAAGCGGGCUGGGGCGGAGGGGAGAGAAGGGGUUUUGUUUAAGCGUGAAUAAAAAACCGGCUUUUCCCGCAGAAGUCCAGCGCCGAUCCCCUUCCGUGCCCCGCGCCGAGACGUGAUCAGUGACAGAUCCAGCUGAAACUGAGAUUGCUCUUCCUCCUCCUCCUCCUGCCGCCGCCGCAGUCCUCCAGCUGCCUUCUCCCCCUCCCCGCCUCCCCGAGAAACCUUCCUCCAGAUUAAGAAGCCAGCAAAAUGAUUACAAAAAUAAGAAUCAUCUGUAAUUUUGGCUCGAGAAACCGACUGUCCCGCCUCGUCGCUUCGCCGACAUCCAAUGCUUUU